rnacentral:rRNA from 1 species
AAACAUUGCCUCUUGCGUAUAUAAUAAGAGGUUCGUCCUGCCCAGUGAACUAAGGUUUAAACGGCCGCGGUAUACCUGACCGUGCAAAGGUAGCAUAAUCACUCGCCUUUUAAUUGUAGGCUCGUAUGAAUGGAUAAACGAGGGACCCCCUGUCUCAUAAAGAUAAAUUAAAAAUUAAUCUUCAGGUGAAGAAGCCUGAAUACAUUUAAAAGACAAGAAGACCCUAUAGAGUUUUACUUACUUAACACCUAUUUUAAAGUAUUAAUAUUUAAAUCUACAUUAAUAAGUUUAGUUGGGGCGACUAAGGAACAUAAAAACCUUCCUUCACAUAAAGAACUGUUUCAAUACUAUGAUCCUAAAAAGACUAUUAAAACCACAUUACCUUAGGGAUAACAGGCUAAUCUCCCCAGAGAGUCCAAAUUGACGGGGAGGGUUGGCACCUCGAUGUUGGCUUAAGACAACUUUUAAAUGCAGCAGUUUAAAUAAGUUGGUUUGUUCAACCAUUAAAGUCUUACGUGAUCU